UACAUGGGGUGCAAACGUUGCUCGGAAUUAUUGGGCGUAAAGCGCGCGUAGGCGGUUACUCAAGUCGGAUGUGAAGCCCUCGGCUUAACUGAGGAAGUGCACCCGAAACUGAGUAGCUAGAGUACUAAAGAGGGUCGCGGAAUUCCGGUGUAGAGGUGAAAUUCGUAGAUAUCGGGAGGAACACCGGUGGCGAAGGCGGCGACCUGGGUAGAUACUGACGCUGAGGCGCGAAAGCGUGGGGAGCAACAGG
rnacentral:rRNA from 1 species